rnacentral:rRNA from 1 species
GACCUCGAAUCGGGUGGGGUUCCCGCUGAACUUAAGC